AGAAUUAUAAGGUGCAACACUUCAUAAUAGUCAUAGGAUACAAUAAGCAAUCAAAUCAAACUAGGAAAUGGUCAAUAUAAAUAGUAAGGAUACAAGCGACAAAGUUACAGUCAUACAGUCACAAGUGGGAGGGGAUGGGUGAUAAGGAGUGAUGAGAAGAUGAAUAGUAAUAAUAGUGUAGACUUUGUAUAGUUGGACAGUGUAGAGGGAAUUAGUUGUUGGCAGAACGAUGGCGUUUGGGGAAAAACUGUCCUUGUGUCUAGUUGUUGUGGUGUGCAGGGCUCUAUAGCGUCAUUUUGAAGGUGGGAGUUGAAAGAGUUUCUGUCCAGGAGA